AGUGAACGCUGGCGGUAGGCCUAACACAUGCGAGUCGAACGGCAGCACAGUAAGAGCUUGCUCUUACGGGUGGCGAGUGGCGGACGGGUGAGGAAUACAUCGGAAUCUACUUUUUCGUGGGGGAUAACGUAGGGAAACUUACGCUAAUACCGCAUACGACCUACGGGUGAAAGCAGGGGAUCUUCGGACCUUGCGCGAUUGAAUGAGCCGAUGUCGGAUUAGCUAGUUGGCGGGGUAAAGGCCCACCAAGGCGACGAUCCGUAGCUGGUCUGAGAGGAUGAUCAGCCACACUGGAACUGAGACACGGUCCAGACUCCUACGGGAGGCAGCAGUGGGGAAUAUUGGACAAUGGGCGUAAGCCUGAUCCAGCCAUACCGCGUGGGUGAAGAAGGCCUUCGGGUUGUAAAGCCCUUUUGUUGGGAAAGAAAAGCAGCAGGUUAAUACCCCGCUGUUCUGACGGUACCCAAAGAAUAAGCACCGGCUAACUUCGUG
rnacentral:rRNA from 1 species